GAUAGCUCAGUCGGUAGAGCAUCCGGCUGUUAACCGGAGUGUCGUAGGUUCGAGUCCUACUC
rnacentral:tRNA from 1 species